rnacentral:rRNA from 1 species
UGGGGAAUUUUGCACAAUGGGGGAAACCCUGAUGCAGCGACGCCGCGUGAUUUAGAAGGCCUUCGGGUUGUAAAAAUCUUUUGUAUGGGAAGAAAAUGACAGUACCAUACGAAUAAGGACCGGCUAAUUACGUGCCAGCAGCCGCGGUAAUACGUAAGGUCCGAGCGUUGUCCGGAAUCAUUGGGCGUAAAGGGUACGUAGGCGGAUAAGCAAGUUAGAAGUGAAAUCCUAUAGCUCAACUAUAGUAAGCUUUUAAAACUGCUCAUCUUGAGGUAUGGAAGGGAAAGUGGAAUUCCUAGUGUAGCGGUGAAAUGCGCAGAUAUUAGGAGGAAUACCGGUAGCGAAGGCGACUUUCUGGCCAUAUACUGACGCUGAGGUACGAAAGCGUGGGUAGCAAACAGG